GCGGGUGUAGUUCAAUGGCAGAACGGCAGCUUCCCAAGCUGCACACGAGGGUUCGAUUCCCUUCACCCGCU
rnacentral:tRNA from 1 species